rnacentral:rRNA from 1 species
GGGCUUGGUGAAGACGUCAGCCUGCCCGGUGAUAUAAUUUAACGGCCGCGGUAUACUGACCGUGCGAAGGUAGCAUAAUCACUUGUUCUUUAAAUGGGGACUAGUAUGAAUGGCACCACGAGGGCUUUACUGUCUCCUUUCUUCAAUCAGUGAAACUGACCUCCCUGUGAAGAGGCAGGGAUACUACUAUAAGACGAGAAGACCCCAUGGAGCUUUAAACCCAACAACAGCCCAAACACCUACCCCCUCAAAGUUUUUAAAGUUUUGUUAGUUGGUUUUAGGUUGGGGUGACCGCGGAGUACAAACCACCCUCCACGACGAAUGGGCCUACCCCCUUACCCAAGAAUUACACCUCUAAGGAUUAACACAUUAACGUAAAAUGAUCCAAAUAUUUGAUCAACGAACCAAGUUACCCUGGGGAUAACAGCGCAAUCCAUUUUUAGAGCCCCUAUCGACAAAUGGGUUUACGACCUCGAUGUUGGAUCAGGGUAUCCCGGAGGUGCAGCCGCUUCCAAUGGUUUGUUUGUUCAACAAUUAAAACCCUACGUGAUCUGAUUUCAAACCCAGA